GCGGAUGUAGCCAAGUGGUCAAGGCAGAUAA
rnacentral:tRNA from 1 species